rnacentral:snRNA from 1 species
AUCGCUUCUCGGCCUUUUGGCUCAGAUCAAGUGUAGUAUCUGUUCUUAUCAGUUUAAUAUCUGAUACGUGCCCCCAUCGGGGGACUACAUAUUAAAUGGAUUUUUCGAACAGGGAGUCGGAAAUGGGGCUUGCUCCGUCCGCUCCACGCAUCGACCCGGUAUUGCAGUACCUCCGGGAAUGGUGCAACACUU